rnacentral:rRNA from 1 species
UACGAGGGGGGCGAGCGUUGUUCGGAAUUAUUGGGCGUAAAGGGUGCGUAGGCGGUUUGAUAAGUCUGAUGUGAAAUCUUUGGGCUCAACCCAUAGUCUGCAUUAGAAACUGUCGGGCUUGAGUAUGGGAGAGGUGAGUGGAAUUUCCGGUGUAGUGGUGAAAUACGUAGAUAUCAGGAGGAACACCGGUGGCGAAGGCGGCGACCUGGUCCUAUACUGACACUCAUACACGAAAGCGUGGGUAGCAAACAGG